rnacentral:rRNA from 1 species
GGUUGGGGUAGUCCGCACGAGCGCAACCCUUGUCAUUAAUUGCCAUCAUUCAGUUGGGCACUUUAAUGAGACUGCCGGUGACAAACCGGAGGAAGGGGGGGAUGACAUCAAGUCCUCAUGGCCCUUAUGGGUAGGGCUUCACACGUCAUACAAUGGUCGGUACAGAGGGUUGCCAAGCCGCGAGGUGGAGCCAAUCCCAGAAAGCCGAUCGUAGUCCGGAUCGCAGUCUGCAACUCGACUGCGUGAAGUCGGAAUCGCUAGUAAUCGCGGAUAACCAUGUGCCGGUGAAUACAUUCCCGGGUCUUGUACACACCGCCCGU